CCUACGGGAGGCUGCAGUGAGGAAUAUUGGUCAAUGGUCGGGAGACUGAACCAGCCAAGCCGCGUGAGGGAUGAAGGUACAGAGUAUCGUAAACCUCUUUUGUCAGGGAACAAAGGCGGGGACGUGUCCCCGGAUGAGUGUACCUGAAGAAAAAGCAUCGGCUAACUCCGUGCCAGCAGCCGCGGUAAUCCGGAGGAUGCGAGCGUUAUCCGGAUUUAUUGGGUUUAAAGGGUGCGCAGGCGGACUGUUAAGUCAGCGGUCAAACCCCGGGGCUCAACCCCGGCGCGCCGUUGAAACUGGCAGUCUCGAGUUGGAGAGAAGUAUGCGGAAUGCGCGGUGUAGCGGUGAAAUGCAUAGAUAUCGCGCAGAACUCCGAUUGCGAAGGCAGCAUGCCGGCUCCACACUGACGCUGAGGCACGAAAGCGUGGGUAUCGAACAGGAUUAGAUACCCCAGUAGUC
rnacentral:rRNA from 1 species